CAGAGUGAGAGCAGCUCUGUGAAAGGAACCGAUGUCAGCACGUGGACACCAAAAUAAGCAGUAACUUUCCUGAGAUGAGCUUGACGUUCCAUGCUCUGUGUGGCCAGGUGUGGCUCAGUGUACCCGACCCAAGCUUUGAGAGGCUUGGCCUCAGCGGCAGCCCUUUGGUCCAGAGAAAGGAGGAGACAUAUCCAAGCCCCUCCUCCUCCCAUCCAGCCAGGGCCAUCUGCUGAGCACGGGGCCUGGACCAUCGCAGGCACACACCAUCGAUAUCUGUCGGUGGCACUUGUCGCCGCGGGCCAGCUGGACACAGGUGCGGCCCCAGGCGGCUCGGCUGGGAGGCCCGCGGACCCGACCACCUGCCCUGUGUUUCCCGUCACGUUAUCCUUACAACCACUUGUUUUCACGUGUGUCCCCCUUGAGGCACUGUCCCGUCGACAUAUCAUGCAGGUCACAAAUGUUUUAAAAAAUUAAAAAUAGGGGCACUUGGCUGGCUCAGUUCGUAGAGCGUGUGACUCUUGAUCUCUGGGUUGUGAGUUCAAGCCCACGAUGGGCGGGCGUAGAGCUUACUAAUCAAAACAAAACGGAUGGAAUUACUUUGAAUAAUAUACUGUAUUAAACUCAAUGUAUCCAUAAUAUUAUAAACAUGUAAUCAAUAUAAACAAAUUGUUAACAAGCUAAUGGACAUUCUUCUUUUUUGAAAUUUGGUGUGUGGGAUGCCUGGGUGGCUCAGUCAGUUAAGCGUCUACCUUCCGCUCAGGUCAUGAUCUCAGGCCCUGGGAUCGAGCCCUGCACUGGGCUCCUUGCUCCAUGGGGAGCCCGCUUCUCUCUCUCCUUCCGCCUGCCGCUCCCCCUGCUUGUUCUCUCUCUCUCUCUAAUACAUACAUACAUACAUAAAUAAAAUCUUUUUAAAAAAUCUGGUGUGUGUUUUG
rnacentral:lncRNA from 1 species